GAUGAACGCUGGCGGCGUGCCUAAUACAUGCAAGUCGAGCGAACAGAUGAGGAGCUUGCUCCUCUGACGUUAGCGGCGGACGGGUGAGUAACACGUGGAUAACCUACCUAUAAGACUGGGAUAACUUCGGGAAACCGGCGCUAAUACCGGAUAAUCUAUUGAACCGCAUGGUUCAAUAGUGAAAGACGGCUUUUCUGUCACUUCUAGAUGGAUCCCGGCGGCAUUAGAUAGUUGGUAGGGUAACGGCUUACCAAGGCAACGAUGCGUAGCCGACCUGAGGGGGUGAUAGGCCACACUGGAGGGGAGACGGGGUCAAGACUCCUACGGGAGGCAGCAGAAGGGAAUCUUCCGCAAUGGUCGGAAGCCUUACGGAGCAACGCCGAGUGAGUGAUGACGGUGUUCGGAUCGUAAAGCUCUGUUAUGAGGGAAGAACAAAUGUGUAAGUAACUGUGCACGGCUUGACGGUAACGAAUCAGAAAGCCACGGCUAACUACGUG
rnacentral:rRNA from 1 species